rnacentral:rRNA from 1 species
UACGAAGGGGGCUAGCGUUGCUCGGAUUUACUGGGCGUAAAGGGCGCGUAGGCGGACAGUUUAGUCAGAGGUGAAAGCCCAGGGCUCAACCUUGGAAUUGCCUUUGAUACUGGCUGCCUUGAGUACGGGAGAGGUGAGUGGAACUCCGAGUGUAGAGGUGAAAUUCGUAGAUAUUCGGAAGAACACCAGUGGCGAAGGCGACUCACUGGCCCGUUACUGACGCUGAGGAGCGAAAGCCAGGGGAGCAAACGGG